rnacentral:rRNA from 1 species
CACAUGCAAGUCGAGGGGAACGACAUCGAAAGCUUGCUUUUGAUGGGCGUCGACCGGCGCACGGGUGAGUAACGCGUAUCCAACCUGCCCAUCACUUGGGGAUAACCUUGCGAAAGUAAGACUAAUACCCAAUGAUAUCUCUAGAAGGCAUCUGAAAGAGAUUAAAGAUUUAUCGGUGAUGGAUGGGGAUGCGUCUGAUUAGCUUGUUGGCGGGGUAACGGCCCACCAAAGCAACGAUCAGUAGGGGUUCUGAGAGGAAGGUCCCCCACAUUGGAACUGAGACACGGUCCAAACUCCUACGGGAGGCAGCAGUGAGGAAUAUUGGUCAAUGGACGAGAGUCUGAACCAGCCAAGUAGCGUGCAGGAUGACGGCCCUAUGGGUUGUAAACUGCUUUUAUAAGGGAAUAAAGUGAGUCUCGUGAGACUUUUUGCAUGUACCUUAUGAAUAAGGACCGGCUAAUUCCGUGCCAGCAGCCGCGGUAAUACGGAAGGUCCGGGCGUUAUCCGGAUUUAUUGGGUUUAAAGGGAGCGUAGGCCGGAGAUUAAGCGUGUUGUGAAAUGUAGAUGCUCAACAUCUGCACUGCAGCGCGAACUGGUUUCCUUGAGUACGCACAAAGUGGGCGGAAUUCGUGGUGUAGCGGUGAAAUGCUUAGAUAUCACGAAGAACUCCGAUUGCGAAGGCAGCUCACUGGAGCGCAACUGACGCUGAAGCUCGAAAGUGCGGGUAUCGAACAGGAUUAGAUACCCUGGUAGUCCGCACGGUAAACGAUGGAUGCCCGCUGUUGGUCUGAAUAGGUCAGCGGCCAAGCGAAAGCAUUAAGCAUCCCACCUGGGGAGUACGCCGGCAACGGUGAAACUCAAAGGAAUU